GAUGAACGCUGGCGGCGUGCCUAAUACAUGCAAGUCGAGCGAACGGACGAGAAGCUUGCUUCUCUGAUGUUAGCGGCGGACGGGUGAGUAACACGUGGAUAACCUACCUAUAAGACUGGGAUAACUUCGGGAAACCGUAGCUAAUACCGGAUAAUAUUUUGAACCGCAUGGUUCAAAAGUGAAAGACGGUCUUGCUGUCACUUAUAGAUGGAUCCGCGCUGCAUUAGCUAGUUGGUAAGGUAACGGCUUACCAAGGCAACGAUGCAUAGCCGACCUGAGAGGGUGAUCGGCCACACUGGAACUGAGACACGGUCCAGACUCCUACGGGAGGCAGCAGUAGGGAAUCUUCCGCAAUGGGCGAAAGCCUGACGGAGCAACGCCGCGUGAGUGAUGAAGGUCGUCGGAUCGUAAAACUCUGUUAUUAGGGAAGAACAUAUGUGUAAGUAACUGUGCACAUCUUGACGGUACCUAAUCAGAAAGCCACGGCUAACUACGUGC
rnacentral:rRNA from 1 species